UGUAAGCGUAUACCAAAGUUGUUGCAGUUAAAACGCUCGUAGUCGGAAUUUGGCAGUUCCGGAAGUGUGCACGUCGUGUGCGCACUUUGCGGGGACUGCUUUUGUGGUCUUGCGUAGGAUGAGGCACUUUCAUUAGUGAACGUCCUCACGCAACCACUCUUUACUGUGAGAAAAUCAGAGUGCUCAAAGCAGGCAUUUGCCGUGAAUGUAUUAGCAUGGAAUAAUAGAAUAGGACUCGGUUCUAUUUUGUUAGUUUGUUGGGACUGAGUAAUGAUUAAGAGGGACAGUUGGGGGCAUUUGUAUUCCGGCGCUAGAGGUGAAAUUCUUAGAUUGCCGGAAGACAAACUGCUGCGAAAGCGUCUGCCAAGGGUGUUUUCAUUAA
rnacentral:rRNA from 1 species